CUCAGGGUUCCCUGGUCACUGAGGACUCGUCUAGACUUCAGGGCAGGUGCUCCAGAUCUCUGAUCAUCUUCACAGCCCUCCUCUGGACCCUCUCCAACAGCUCCACGUCUUUUCAGUACUGGUGGUCCCAGACCUGGAUGCAGUACUCCAAAUGGGGCCUCAAGAGGGCAGAGUAGAGAGGAAUAUCACCUCUCGGUCCCUGCUGUCCACCUCUCUUCUGAUGGAGCUCAGGGUACCAUUGGCCUUCCAAGUUACAAGAG
rnacentral:lncRNA from 1 species